rnacentral:rRNA from 1 species
UACGUAGGGUCCAAGCGUUAUCCGGAAUCACUGGGCGUAAAGCGUGCGUAGGUGGAUGUUUAAGUGUAUUGCGAAAUCUUGUGGCUCAACCAUAUAGACUGUAAUACAUACUGGAUAUCUAGAGGACGGCAGAGGCAAGUGGAAUUUGUAGUGUAGCAGUGAAAUGCGUAGAUAUUACAAGGAACACCAAUGGCGAAGGCAGCUUGCUGGGCCACUCCUGACACUGAGGUACGAAAGCGUGGGGAGCGAACAGG